ACCUACGGGGCGCAGCAGUGAGGAAUAUUGGUCGAUGGCCGGAAGGCUGAACCAGCCAAGUCGCGUGAGGGACGACUGCCCUAUGGGUUGUAAACCUCUUUUAUAAGGGAAGAAUAAAUGCUACGUGUAGCAUGAUGCCUGUACCUUAUGAAUAAGCAUCGGCUAACUCCGUGCCAGCAGCCGCGGUAAUACGGAGGAUGCGAGCGUUAUCCGGAUUUAUUGGGUUUAAAGGGUGCGUAGGCGGUCCGGAAAGUCAGCGGUAAAAGCCCGGGGCUCAACCCCGGCGAGCCGUUGACACUGUCGGG
rnacentral:rRNA from 1 species